CAGGAGAUAUGAGGCGUGCCAAUGCUCUUGUUGCCCAUUUUCGGCAAGUCCUUUAUGAAGGCCAAUCUGUGUUACUAUACAACUUACUGAUGAAGGGAUACAUAAAAAGCAACUUCCCUCUGGGAGCUUUGACUGUUAAAGAUGAGAUAUUGCGCCAAGGGUUGAAGCCUGAUAGAUUGACAUACAACACCAUCAUUUUUGCUUGCGUGAAAUCAGAAGAGAUUGAGAAGGCUUUCCAGUUUCUUAAAGAUAUGAAGGUGUCACACAAGUGUUGGAAAGGCCAAAGCUAAAAGGGAUGGUAAUCCUGAACUCCUCCCGGAUGCUGUUACCUACACAACAUUACUUAAGUUAUUGAAGCAUGUUGCAGGGUUUAGGAAAUAGCCAAGAUCUUUAUGCAGUUUUGAAGAUUGUGGUGGAGAUGAAAUCGUCACUUACAUUAAUUGAUAGGACUGCAUAUACAGCUAUGGCAGAUGCCUUUCUAGCUUGCGGGUCCAUUGAUGGUAAGCUAUAUAGCAUGUUUCUAGUGGGUCAAUUUGCUUGGUGAUACUACGUCUUUUCAAGUUGAAAAAUAACAGUGGUAUCCUUGCAUUUGAUGUUAUUUUCUAUCCACACGCCUUAGUAGUGCUACUACCCAUUUUUAAAAGGUGAUUUUAUCUUUUUUUUGUUUGGUAUAUCUGAUUCGCAAAAACUCUGCUUGUGCCAUUUUAGGAAUAGCCAUUCUCAAGCCUAGGUAAAGGAGGGUUGUGUUGGCAAGCCAACGUUAGUUGGAGCGUAACCCUCUCAGCGACACGCCAUAUUGGAACCUGAGUGUGGUGUUAAGUAAGCAAGGGCCGGGCCGCCACCGUUAUAAGCAGACAAGGGGUUUUGCAUCUCACCUGACGAAUGUGAAGAGUAAGGAAGCAGCCGAGGCAAAUAGGUUGGGUGUGGGUAGUUGGAAUGUAGGAUCCUUAAUGGGGGAAUAUACAGGAGUCAGUGGAUGCUGCGAUUAGGAGGCGUGUAAAUAUUUGUUUCAUCCAGGAGACUAGAUGGGUGGGUCAAAAGGGUGAGGGAAGUUGAGAAUACCAGUUUCAAGCUUUGGUAUUCAGGGUCAGCUGGUAAUAGGAACACGGCGUAGACUUCCUAAUAGACAAGAGCCUCAAGAAUGGAGUAGUGCAUGUCCGGAGAUAGAGGAUAGGAUCAUCCUAAUCAAGCUAGUUGUUGAGAAUCGUGUCCUGAAAGUUAUUAGUGCUUAUGUCCCACCGGCGGGGCUCGAUAUGGGUGCUAAGAGCAAAUUUUGGGAUGAUGGAGGACGUGGUUAGAAGUGUACCGACAAACGAGCAGCUCUUCAAUUGAGGAGAUCUGAAUGGCCAUGUGAGUACAACUAACAUAGGGUUUGAGGAGGUGCAUGGGGGCUUUGGGUAUGGCGACAGAAACCAGAAGGGUAACGACAUCCUAGACUUUGCGAUAAGCUACAACCGUUUCGUAGCUAGCACUUUCUUUAGGAAGAUGCAAUCUCACCUAGUGACCUUCAGUAGUUCCCAACACUCUAGCCAGAUUGAUCUU